rnacentral:lncRNA from 1 species
UCAUCCUAUUGUACUUGCUCUAAGUAGUAUGGAUGGGACUAUAAGGAGCAUAUUGUCUCUUCGUAACAACAAUAAUAUUCAAGAGUGUGGUACAUUAUCCAUCUAAUUUCCAGUUUCUAAGAAAAUGUUGUUUUAAUUGAGAAAUAAUGAGCAUACAUAUGGUGUUUCCUGGACUUGGUUUUCUAUCUUGAGUUGGAAAAUAAGAUGUUGAGUGUGAGCAUUGUGCCAUACUUUAUAUAUAAUUUCCUGCCUAUUGAUUCAUAAUGUCGUGGUCCCUGAAUUUCUAUCAUGUCACAUGAUAGGUGAUGUACGAUGCUUUUUU